rnacentral:misc_RNA from 1 species
GAUGAAGAACGUAGCGAAAUGCGAUACGUAGUGUGAAUUGCAGAAUUCAGUGAAUCAUCGAAUCUUUGAACGCACAUUGCACCUCUCGGUAUUCCGGGAGGUAUGCCUGUUCGAGCGUCAUUUGUACCCUCAAGCUCUGCUUGGUGUUGGGUGUUUGUUCCGCCUCUGUGUGUGAACUCGCCCCAAAACAAUUGGCAGCCGGCGUACUUGUUUCGGAGCGCAGCACAUUUUGCGAUCCAGAUCAACGUACAGCGGCAUCCAAGAAGCCUUAUUUAACGCUCUUGACCUCGGAUCAGGUAGGGAUACCCGCUGAACUUAAGCAUAUCAAUAAGCGGAGGA